AUUGAACGCUGGCGGCAGGCCUAACACAUUCAAGUCGAACAAGUGGCGGACGGGUGAGUAAUGUCUGGGAAACUGCCUGAUGGAGGGGUAUAACUACUGGAAACGGUAGCUAAUACCGCAUACCAUCGGAUGUGCCCCGAUGGGAUUAGCUAGUAGGUGGGGUAACGGCUCACCUAGGCGACGAUCCCUAGCUGGUCUGAGAGGAUGACCAGCCACACUGGAACUGAGACACGGUCCAGACUCCUACGGGAGGCAGCAGUGGGGAAUAUUGCACAAUGGGCGAAAGCCUGAUGCAGCCAUGCCGCGUGUAUGAAGAAGGCCUUCGGGUUGUAAAGUACUUUCAGCGGGGAGGCGUUACCCGCAGAAGAAGCACCGGCUAACUCCGUGCCAGCAGCCGCGGUAAUAC
rnacentral:rRNA from 1 species